UACAGGCGUGAGCCACCGCCUCUAAUUUUUGUCUUUUAAGUGGAGCUCCCUCACACCAGGAGCAUUUCAUAGCUUGCCCACCCCUGUUCUGUGUCUCCUACCACUCCCUCCAUGCCAGUGGCACGUUUCAUUAUGGUUUCCCACAUCCAAACCUCAUAGCAAAUGUAAUUGUGGUGAUAAUAGGUAGUCUAGCCAGCAACACUAAGUAUUAAAAAUGACUCAGUGUUAUUUUGGUAUUUAACUUUGUAAAAGAAAAAGGAAGAGCUUUCUGGCUAUUUAAAAAGAAAAAGAAGAUGUUGGUUUUCAUGAAAACAUAGAGCUUUUUCUUGUCAGCAAUGGCUGAUAUGCUACAUUUUUACAAGAGGCAUAAAGUCAUGCAUAAGUCUUGUUUUACAGCGAAUCAGUGGGAAGUGGCCUACAGUGGGUCUAAAUGAUUCCCUACUGAAUUGUGGUAUUUUCGGGUACAUUUGUCACUCACUCAUUUCUCAGAAGGCUUUGACAUAAUCACCUGUGACAGUUGAAAAUUGUCUGGAAUUUGCAUUGACUAAAUAAAGGAGACCUCGGUUAUUGCAAUGAUUAAAAAACUAUAGAAUUUAGAGUAAAAAGAUAAGACCUGCACAGCACUGCUGUUACCACAUCUAUCAAUUUUAAGAAUUUGAGACAUACCUUCCU
rnacentral:lncRNA from 1 species